rnacentral:rRNA from 1 species
CCUACGGGAGGCAGCAGUAAGGAAUAUUGGACAAUGCUCGCAAGAGUGAUCCAGCCAUGCCGCGUGCAGGAAGAAUGCCCUAUGGGUAGUAAACUGCUUUUGAACUAGAGAAAACCCCAGUACGUGUACUGGGCUGAUAGUAUAGUUAGAAUAAGCAUCGGCUAACUUCGUGCCAGCAGCCGCGGUAAGACGAAGGAUGCAAGCGUUAUCCGGAUUCAUUGGGUUUAAAGGGAGCGUAGGUGGACUGAUAAGUCAGUGGUGAAAUCUCCGAGCUUAACUCGGAAAUUGCCAUUGAUACUGUUGGUCUUGAGUACAGUUGCUGUGGGCGGAAUAUGACAUGUAGUGGUGAAAUACAUAGAGAUGUCAUAGAACACCGAUUGCGAAGGCAGCUCACAAAGCUGUAACUGACACUGAGGCUCGAAAGUGCGGGGAUCAAACAGGAUUAGAUACCCUGGUAGUCCGCACCGUAAACGAUGAUUACUCGCUGCUAGGGGGCAACCUUUAGUGGCUUAGCGAAAGCGAUAAGUAAUCCACCUGGGGAGUACGCCGGCAACGGUGAAACUCAAAGGAAUUAGACGGCUUGAGGACGNGCGAGCGACACAGGGAGAGG